UACGUAGGGCGCAAGCGUUGUCCGGAAUUAUUGGGCGUAAAGAGCUCGUAGGCGGCCUGUUGCGUCCGCUGUGAAAUCCCGGGGCUUAACCCCGGGUCUGCAGUGGAUACGGGCAGGCUGGAGGCAGGCAGGGGAGAACGGAAUUCCCGGUGUAGCGGUGAAAUGCGCAGAUAUCGGGAAGAACACCAAUGGCGAAGGCAGCUCGCUGGGACGGUACUGACGCUGAGGCGCGAAAGCGUGGGGAGCAAACAGG
rnacentral:rRNA from 1 species